rnacentral:rRNA from 1 species
AGUGAACGCUGGCGGUAGGCCUAACACAUGCAAGUCGAACGGCAGCACAGUAAGAGCUUGCUCUUACGGGUGGCGAGUGGCGGACGGGUGAGGAAUACAUCGGAAUCUACUUUUUCGUGGGGGAUAACGUAGGGAAACUUACGCUAAUACCGCAUACGACCUACGGGUGAAAGCAGGGGAUCUUCGGACCUUGCGCGAUUGAAUGAGCCGAUGUCGGAUUAGCUAGUUGGCGGGGUAAAGACCCACCAAGGCGACGAUCCGUAGCUGGUCUGAGAGGAUGAUCAGCCACACUGGAACUGAGACACGGUCCAGACUCCUACGGGAGGCAGCAGUGGGGAAUAUUGGACAAUGGGCGCCAGCCUGAUCCAGCCAUACCGCGUGAGUGAAGAAGGCCUUCGGGUUGUAAAGCACUUUUGUUGGGAAAGAAAAGCAGCAGGUUAAUACCCCGCUGUUCUGACGGUACCCAAAGAAUAAGCACCGGCUAACUUCGUG